rnacentral:tRNA from 1 species
UAGAAGAUAGCAUAAAUGGAGUGCUGAAGAUUUUGAGUCUUUGUGUACGGGUUCAAGUCCUGUUUUUCU